rnacentral:rRNA from 1 species
GAUGAACGCUGGCGGCGUGCCUAAUACAUGCAAGUCGAGCGAACAGAUGAGGAGCUUGCUCCUCUGACGUUAGCGGCGGACGGGUGAGUAACACGUGGAUAACCUACCUAUAAGACUGGGAUAACUUCGGGAAACCGGAGCUAAUACCGGAUAAUAUAUUGAACCGCAUGGUUCAAUAGUGAAAGACGGUUUUGCUGUCACUUAUAGAUGGAUCCGCGCCGCAUUAGCUAGUUGGUAAGGUAACGGCUUACCAAGGCAACGAUGCGUAGCCGACCUGAGAGGGUGAUCGGCCACACUGGAACUGAGACACGGUCCAGACUCCUACGGGAGGCAGCAGUAGGGAAUCUUCCGCAAUGGGCGAAAGCUUGACGGAGCAACGCCGCGUGAGUGAUGAAGGUCUUCGGAUCGUAAAACUCUGUUAUUAGGGAAGAACAAAUGUGUAAGUAACUUUGCACGUCUUGACGGUACCUAAUCAGAAAGCCACGGCUAACUACGUG